CUUUAAUUGAAGAGUUUGAUCAUGGCUCAGAUUGAACGCUGGCGGCAGGCCUAACACAUGCAAGUCGAGCGGCAGCGGGAAGAAGCUUGCUUCUUUGCCGGCGAGCGGCGGACGGGUGAGUAAUGUCUGGGGAUCUGCCCGAUGGAGGGGGAUAACCACUGGAAACGGUGGCUAAUACCGCAUAACCUCUU
rnacentral:rRNA from 1 species